GUUUGAUUAAAAAAAAGUAAACUUGCAGUUCAGGUGAAUGGAGAAGUGCAGAUUAAUUUUUUUUGUAAUAAAAAGUAAGAAACCAACGGGGACUCUUUACACAAAAAUAAAAAUAAAAAAUGGGGGAAAGGGGAAACGAGAACUAGGUCAAGACUAAGAUUAAAAGGGAAAACUAAAAAUCAAGACCAAACUAGGAAAGAUGGGAUCGUAGCAAAUUCACCAAAAAAAAGGAGCGGGAAUUUAAUGGACCAAAAAAAGCAAAAGAAAAAAAUUUUCUAAGCAAUUUAGGAAGAGAUAUUGAUUGAUGGGAAGAAACUAU